UACCUACGGGGGGCAGCAGUGGGGAUAUUGCACAAUGGAGGAAACUCUGAUGCAGCGACGCCGCGUGAGGGAAGACGGUCUUCGGAUUGUAAACCUCUGUCUUUGGGGAAGAAAAUGACGGUACCCAAAGAGGAAGCUCCGGCUAACUACGUGCCAGCAGCCGCGGUAAUACGUAGGGAGCGAGCGUUGUCCGGAAUUACUGGGUGUAAAGGGAGCGUAGGCGGGCGAGAAAGUUGAAUGUUAAAUCUACCGGCUUAACUGGUAGCUGCGUUCAAAACUUCUUGUCUUGAGUGAAGUAGAGGCAG
rnacentral:rRNA from 1 species